rnacentral:rRNA from 1 species
GUCGAGAAUCUUUCACAAUGGGGGCAACCCUGAUGGAGCGACGCCGCGUGGAGGAUAAGGUCUUCGGAUUGUAAACUCCUGUCAUGCGUGAACAAGGUUGCUUGGUUAAUACCUGGGCAAAUUGAUGGUAACGCAAGAGGAAGAGACGGCUAACUCUGUGCCAGCAGCCGCGGUAAUACAGAGGUCUCAAGCGUUGUUCGGAAUCACUGGGCGUAAAGGGUGCGUAGGUGGCGUGGUAAGUCAGAUGUGAAAGCCCGGGGCUCAACCUCGGAACUGCAUCCGAUACUGCCAUGCUAGAGUACUGGGGAGGUGACUAGAAUUCUCGGUGUAGCAGUGAAAUGCGUAGAUAUCGAGAGGAAUACCAAAGGCGUAGGCAGGUCACUGGACAGUUACUGACACUGAGGCACGAAGGCCAGGGGAGCGAACGGGAUUAGAUACCCCAGUAGUCC